rnacentral:lncRNA from 1 species
UAAGAUAUACCAUCUAAAGGUACAAGAUUCCAACGAUGAAUGUAACUGUAUUGUCAGGAGCAAUGCUACAUAAUUUUAGGGUAAAAUCAUUUGGUUAGCCUAAUUCCUCUGCCUACAGCCCAGCUAUGGAAUUCUGAGACAUAACUCCAUUUUGGCCUCUGGUCACAACUGAGACCUCAAUGAUCCAGUGACGCUGUGAUUCUCUAGGACAAGAAACAUCAUGGGAGCUGAGAACAUCCUGGGAGGAACAAACAUCUAUUCAGUUCCUCCUUGUUCUUGGAUUGUUACAUCUUAUUUAUGCAGGAUGUACUGAACUCUCUGCAAGUCAUUUGUUACAUUUGUUUCUCCUGAUGUACUGAGUACUGAAUAAAAGUUGCGGUAAUCUAGGGUCUUUUGUCUUUGCUGCCCAGAGCAGCACUGAUCAGACCCAAAGCUCAGCUUCUUCUCAGUCUCAUUUUUCUACCUUUUCUGUAAUUCGCCUUAUGUUGCCAUGGCUCGCAGGAGACUAGGAAUUACUGCAGAGGUUCUAGUAACACCCCCUUUCCCUGUUCCCUACAUUUGGCCAUUUGGCACCCAACUUGGAUGUGAAUCGGAUCCAGGGGUGAACUCGCCUGUGAGACAAACUUGGAGUAAGAGAGACAGCACAUGGAUCUCCCAGGAUGAUUUCCGGACUUGGACAAGGGACACUGGUGGUAUAAAAGUGCUUGGAUUCCUUCUGAUUCUAAUCUCAAGAGAUCUCUGUUAAUUGACUACAAAAGUUUUUGACCAGUCUUAUAUGUAAUUAUAAGUCUAAUAAUCAUAAAAAGAUAUUAUAAAUCAAUUUGGCCAAAUAUAUUUGAGUGCACUCUAAUUUUAUAAAUUGUCUCAUAUGUUUGUCUGUUGUCUUCUGUUUGUACAGUUGAGCUCAAAUGUUUUUUUCUUUUCUCUUUUCCUUUUCACCUUUUGAAAAAAUUUUUUUUCUUAAAAGAUAUUCACCUAUUAUUAAAUUGGCUUACAGAUAAAUGUUAUUAAAUUAAAGGCAUGCCCUCCUUCCCAGGUUGCUAAUUGAUCAAAGUGCCACUGAGUUUUUUUUUAUAAAAGUAAUGUGUACUGUCACCUACAUGCAAUAAUCAAAUUGCAAUAAGCAGUUGUAAAAUAAGAAGAUAUAUAUAUUCUUAUUAUUUGUUUGUCAAAGUAAAUAGAGACUGUGGGUACUCCCUUUGGUGAAUAAAGAAGUGGCCCCCCCAGAAAGUAAUUAUUCUGGUCUUAAUUCACUAAAGUAAUGCCCUAGUAAUUUUCAAAAUCUUGUGGGAGACACAUCACAACAAAUAUUGUCUCAAUAUGUUAUUAUAAAUUGAUUACAUUGGUUAUCAUUGAAGUUUAAAUUCUAAAUGUUAUUAUAAAUUGAUUACAUUGGUUAUCAUUGACGUUUAAGCACUAAAUAUGUUAUUAUAAAAUGUUUACAUUGCCUAAGUUCUGAACAUGUUAUUGUAAUAUGUCUACAUUGGUCAUCUUCAAAAGAUUAAUUUCUGUGGCAUAAACAAAAGAGUGUUAUUAGGAAGAUGCUUUUGGUACCAAACUACAUUGAAGAACAUAAUGUUUUAUAUAAUUGUAAUAUUUAUUACCACUCCUUUUCUGGUGUACACAAUAUAUUCAUGCCUUCUAAUUGUAUGGGUCUUUCAACAUAUUGUUUAUGGUAAUAACCUUUUGAUUCAGAUAUUUGCCUUUCUCUUACACUCCAGAUACCUAUGAUAAUAAGCACACUUGUAGGCUGAUAUAUUUUCCUUAGAUGACAUCCUAUAAAAAGAUAGCUACUUAGGGAUUCAACCACAAAAACAAACAUAAUUGGCAAUAAUAACAGUUUUUAAACUAUAUUUUUAUUACAAAAUGCUUAAUAUCCAGAUAAAAUUAUAAUAGUUGAGUUCACUACUCCUCUUACAAUGCUGAUGUUAUUGAUCUUCUCUUCUGGGUGUUCAAUAAUCAAAGUUUAGAGACAAGAACUAAAAAGGUAUCUGGGCUAAGAUGACAGCCAAUAUUUUGGCCCUGACUCUCCAAGGUCAACUACAACAGAAAGAUCCAGGACGUGAGGGAACCUUCUCCAAGAUCCUACAUCUUUGGUGAGUCACCCAACUUCCUGAGCAGGGAGGUUGUUGAACACCAAAAUGGUAAGAUCCAACAAAAAAUGUGCCAAAGGAAUGUCACCUGGAGGAAAAAAAUCUCCCAUGCUUUUGCAGAAAGCAAUAUGGUCAAGCAAGUCCAUGAUAUAUCCUAAUGGCUGACACUGACAGAGGAGCUAAGAGGCUCUAUGCAUAGUUCCAAGACAGUGCCUGUGGAGACUUAAUUGACCUUGUUAGAUAGCAAGAGACUGACUUUAUUUAAUAUAGGUCUCACCGUUACUUGGUCUUGAACAUCCAGUAGAAAAGUAUAACUAUAUAAGACAAUAACUAUUUGAUUUCAACAAAAGUUUUAAGUUUUUUAGCCAACAGUGUUUAAAAAAAACUUUUAGAUUUUUAAUCCUUUUACAGCCCCAAUUAAAAGAAAUUAUGCUCAUUAUAGAUAGACAGCUAAGCCAGUCAAAUACACUAUAGAUCCUCACAAUACAUAGGGACAAGCCAUUGUUGGGUGUGCUCACUUUUCCUAAAAACACGUUCACAUAAAACAAAAAGAAAGGGAGAUAUGUCAGGAGCAAUGCUACAUAAUUUUAGGGUAAAAUCAUUUGGUUAGCCUAGUUCUUCUGCCUACAGCCCAGCUAUGGAAUUCUAAGACAUAACUCCAUUUUGGCCUCUGGUCACAACUGAGACCUCAAUGAUCCAGUGAUGCUAUGAUUCUCCAGGACAAGAAACAUCAUGGGAGCUGAGAACAUCCUGGGAGGAACAAACAUCUACUCAGUUCCUCCUUGUUCUUGGAUUGUUACAUCUUAUUUAUGCAGGAUGUACUGAACUCUCUGCAAGUCAUUUGUUACAUUUGUUUCUCCUGAUGUACUGAGUACUGAAUAAAAGGUGCGGUAAGCUGGGGGCUUUCAUCUUUGCUGCCCAGAGCAGCACUGAUAAAACCCAAAGCUCAGCUUCUUCUCAGUCUCAUUUUUCUACCUUCCCUGUAAUUCGCCUUAUGUUGCCAUGGCUCGCAGGAGACUAGGACUUACUGCAGAGGUUCUAGUAACGCCCCCUUUCCCUGUUCCCUAUACUGUAUUUUAUACCUAAAUGUGCCAAUAAAUUUAAAUUAAAAAUAAAUAAAUAUAUUAAUUGUAUACACACACACACACACAAACAUGUUUGUAGAACUCAAAGACACCGUAAAAAUAAUAUAUACCUAUAUCCCCACAGACAGCCCUUUCAAUUGUUCUAUCUUGG